CCUUCCGUAGGUGAACCUGCGGAAGGAUCAUUACCGAGUGCGGGCCCGCUCUGGGCCCAACCUCCCACCCGUGUCUCUUGCGUACUUUGUUGCUUUGGCGGGCCCACUGGGUCACUCCGGUCGCCGGGGAGCGCUAUGCUCCCGGGCCCGUGCCCGCCAGAGCACCCCUGUGAACCCUGAUGAAGAGAGGCUGUCUGAGUCCCACGAUAAUCGUUAAAACUUUCAACAAUGGAUCUCUUGGUUCCGGCAUCGAUGAAGAACGCAGCGAAAUGCGAUAAGUAAUGUGAAUUGCAGAAUUCCGUGAAUCAUCGAAUCUUUGAACGCACAUUGCGCCCCCUGGCAUUCCGGGGGGCAUGCCUGUCCGAGCGUCAUUUCUGCCCUCAAGCGCGGCUUGUGUGUUGGGCGUGGUCCCCCUGGCUUUGGCGGGGACCUGCCCGAAAGGCAGCGGCGACGUCCCGCCUAGUCCUCGAGCGUAUGGGGCUCUGUCACGCGCUCGGGAGGGACUGGUGGGCGUUGGUCACCC
rnacentral:rRNA from 1 species